rnacentral:misc_RNA from 1 species
UGGUUCUCGCAUCGAUGAAGAACGCAGCGAAACGCGAUAGGUAAUGUGAAUUGCAGAAUUCCGUGAAUCAUCGAAUCUUUGAACGCACAUUGCGCCUUCUGGUAUUCCGGUAGGCAUGCCUGUCUGAGCGUCAGCAAAACCCUCAGCAACUAGUUUGCUGGUCCUGGGCUGGAGGGGAUUUCCCCCCCUGCCUUAAACCUGCUGUAGCCUCAAACUUUGCGGUUAAUGGAGUGGUUAUACACAUUUCUUGCGACCAAAUAGUGGAGGGCGUUAAACUCUUGAGUUUGACCUCAGAUCAGACAAGGAUACCCGCUGA